GUGAGAAGCGCCAAGCGCAAGUAGCUUUGUGGGCGGUUCUAUGGCGAUGUUGCUAUUUUACCGGCGCAUUAAUGACUCUUGCGCCCGGCGCAUAUCUAAAAAGGCUAAUGGUGCGUUUUAAUAUCCAUCCGUCUCGGAGGUCCGAGGACGUUGCCUAGCGACACGCACAAACACGCCCCUUUUCCUCGGACGGCGAUCUCGCCAUCUCGGUUGAACUCAGUGGUGACCGAGCGAAAUUCCGAGACAGAAUUCAAGAUGGCUGCGCGCAUUGUGACUUGAAGUAUGAACUGUUUUCAUUGUGCUUGGACCACUUUGGUGGUUUAAAUGGUAAUUUCAAUCACUCGUAUUACUGCAAUACCUUACUGCGUCCGUAUCUCUGCCUAUGUACACAAAUAUAUUGUAUUUGUGUACAGCACUUUGGUCAACUACUGUUGUUUUAAAUGUGCUAUAUAAAUAAACUUGACUUGACUUGA